UGAACGCUGGCGGCGUGCCUAAUACGUGCAAGUCGAGCGAACGGAUGAGAAGCUUGCUUCUCUGAUGUUAGCGGCGGACGGGUGAGUAACACGUGGAUAACCUACCUAUAAGACUGGGAUAACUUCGGGAAACCGGAGCUAAUACCGGAUAAUAUUUUGAACCGCAUGGUUCAAAAGUGAAAGACGGUCUUGCUGUCACUUAUAGAUGGAUCCGCGCUGCAUUAGCUAGUUGGUAAGGUAACGGCUUACCAAGGCAACGAUGCAUAGCCGACCUGAGAGGGUGAUCGGCCACACUGGAACUGAGACACGGUCCAGACUCCUACGGGAGGCAGCAGUAGGGAAUCUUCCGCAAUGGGCGAAAGCCUGACGGAGCAACGCCGCGUGAGUGAUGAAGGUCUUCGGAUCGUAAAACUCUGUUAUUAGGGAAGAACAUAUGUGUAAGUAACUGUGCACAUCUUGACGGUACCUAAUCAGAAAGCCACGGCUAACUACGUG
rnacentral:rRNA from 1 species